AAGUGAAGGACGAUGUACUCGGAUUCCCCUUCAGGACAUCAUGGAUGCUGCCAUCUGAGUUUCUGACACU